rnacentral:rRNA from 1 species
AUUUAUUAGAUAUUUUGUGUUUAUCAGUUUCACGAAAUAAAAUGAGCUACAUAUGUUUAUUUUAGGCAUGUGUAAUAAUUACGUUAUAUAGUAAUUACAAAAUGCAUAUUUAGGGGCGAUAGACCUUCCAAAUUUUAAGAUAUCUUGUUGUAAAAUAAAAAUAUUUAGUAUCUAGUUAAACUAUAAAAGUUAAGCUUUAUAGUAUUUAUUAAUUUCAUUUUCUUACUCUUGCAGUUUAAUCACUAGCAAUUAAGCAAUUUUAAUAUAUAAUAUGAAUUUUUAUAUCAUAAUUUUCACUAUAUUUAUUUAUUAUAAAAUAGAUAAUGUAAAUAUUAGUAGUUUACGUAAAUACAUUAAAGGAACUCGGCAAAUAUUCUACUCAACUGUUUAACAAAAACAUAACUACAUGAUAUUAUAUGUAGCUACUUCUGCUCAAUGGUACACCUAAAUAGCCGCAGUACUCUGACUGUGCAAAGGUAGCAUAAUCAAUUGGCUUAUAAUUGAGGUCUGGUAUGAACGAAUAAUUGGGUAGUAACUGUCUUAAUGUAUUUUUAUAAAUUUAGUAAGCAAGUGAAAAUACUUGCUCAGUUAUAAAAGACGAGAAGACCCUAGAAACUUAUAUGUGUUUUUGUUGGGGCGACAGGAUUACAAUUAACUAAUCUUAUUUUACAAGACGUAUAACAGGAAGAUUAAGUUACUCUAGGGAUAAUCAAGCAUAAUUUUAAGUAGUUUGUGACCUCGAUGUUGGACUAGGUACAGAACUCCUUAGAAGGGAUUUAACAUGCUCUGUUCGAGCAACUUAACCUACAUGAUCUGAGUUCAGACCGG